rnacentral:rRNA from 1 species
GACGAACGCUGGCGGCGUGCCUAAUACAUGCAAGUCGAACGCUUCUUUCCUCCCGAGUGCUUGCACUCAAUGGGAAAGAGGAGUGGCGGACGGGUGAGUAACACGUGGGUAACCUACCCAUCAGAGUGGGAUAACACUUGGAAACAGUUGCUAAUACCGCAUAACAGUUUAUGCCGCAUGGCAUAAGAGUGAAGGCGCUUUCGGGUGUCGCUGGUGGAUGGACCCGCGGUGCAUUAGCUAGUUGGUGAGGUAACGGCUAACCAAGGCCACGAUGCAUAGCCGACCUGAGAGGGUGAUCGGCCACACUGGGACUGAGACACGGCCCAGACUCCUACGGGAGGCAGCAGUAGGGAAUCUUCGGCAAUGGACGGAAGUCUGACCGAGCAACGCCGCGUGAGUGAAGAAGGUUUUCGGAUCGUAAAACUCUGUUGUUAGAGAAGAACAAGGACGUUAGUAACUGAACGUCCCCUGACGGUAUCUAACCAGAAAGCCACGGCUAACUACGUGCCAGCCGCCGCGGUAA